AGCGAACGCUGGCGGCAGGCCUAACACAUGCAAGUCGAACGGAUCCUUCGGGAUUAGUGGCGGACGGGUGAGUAACACGUGGGAACGUGCCCUUUGGUUCGGAACAACUCAGGGAAACUUGAGCUAAUACCGGAUGUGCCCUUCGGGGGAAAGAUUUAUCGCCAUUGGAGCGGCCCGCGUCUGAUUAGCUAGUUGGUGAGGUAACGGCCCACCAAGGCGACGAUCAGUAGCUGGUCUGAGAGGAUGAUCAGCCACACCGGGACUGAGACACGGCCCAGACUCCUACGGGAGGCAGCAGUGGGGAAUCUUGCGCAAUGGGCGAAAGCCUGACGCAGCCAUGCCGCGUGAAUGAUGAAGGUCUUAGGAUUGUAAAAUUCUUUCAGCGGGGACGAUAAUGACGGUACCCGCAGAAGAAGCUCCGGCUAACUUCGUG
rnacentral:rRNA from 1 species